GUGAUCCGUGUUAUGGAGUUUCCUGGUGUAAUAAUGGCCAUUGUGUUGUACAGGGAUCCUCAUAUAACUGUCAUUGUCAUUCUUGCUGGGGUAACUAUAAUUAUCAAUCGUUAUGCACCUGUAAGUAUUUUAUGCAACGCUAGACUAUAGUAGAGGCGCUAUCAUGUUUUCUCGUCUGUGUGAUUGUCCGUAUAAUCCGCCUGUUAUAUUCAAAAUUUGGUUGAGGUAAAUGGGGGUCUAAAUUAAAAAAAAAAAUAAGGUGGAUCGUCGGUAUAUAUACUAGUCAACAAAAGAAACGAUAAAAGUCUUUUAUUUCGAAUUCAAGAUGAAGUUUUCAUUAUAUAUGACAAAUAUUAAAGGUGGUAAUACCGAAUGAUCACGGAACUAUUAAUCCGUUUAACAAAAAAAAAUUAAUUGCUUCCAUGACGUCAUUCAAUGGGUGAAACUUUUUGGGACAACAUUUACAAAAAACGACAAUUUUAUAAACAGAAGUCCCAACUCAUGAGGCCAACUUCUCAUUUGAAGAGAAAGACAAGCUUGCCAUUAAUUUGUUUAUGUAUGAUUCUUCAUUUAUUUGUAAAGCGAAAUUCAGACCCAUAAGAAAUCGGUAAAAUGUUUACAUUAUGAUUUCAUUUGCCAUAUACACUAUAUAUAUAUAUAUAAUAUAUGUAAAGUGAAAUUCAAAUACACGGCAUCAAACUUAAAACUUAUAUGAAAGUUUCCAAAUUUACAGUGUGGUGUUCAUAUCUAAAGCAUUGAUUUGAGACGUAAACACAUUUGUUUUAAUAUUUUUUUGGGAAUUUAAAAAAAAUAUUUAAAAAAAAUAUUUCAACCCAUAAUAUACAACAUGAACAUAACUUGAAUAGCAUAUUGCAUAUGUUUAAACAAAUUUUAGUGUUUUUUUUAGUACUUUGAAAAUUGUGUCGAUUUUAGACCAAUUUUCCGCAAAAAUUAUUUGAAUCCUGUGAUAAUUUUCGACAGGUUUUGAAAUUUCAUAAUCAUAUGCACAUACAUGGCAAAUGAAUAGUUUUUAAAAUAGUUCAUCUCAUUUUUUUUUAUAUUAAAUUCUUGUUGAUCAAUUUGAUGGCAAAGUCAUGAAUCGUUUCUUUUGUUGACUAGUAUAGUAUAGUUGCUUAACAUUUUCUUAAACUUUGCCAAACAUAAGAUUUUACUAUGCUUUUUUGGAAAAAUUGAUUCUAAAAGUACAAAUAUUUGGUAUUUUGAAUAAUGCAAAUCAACUUUAUUUUUCUUUAUUCAAAUAAACAUUCUAACACAUCAAUUGCAAAUCUGUCUCAAAAUUUGCAGAUUUAGGCAAAGAACUAGACCGAUUAUGUACUGCUAUUGUACAAUCCAGGAUGGCGGUAUACACUGAAUCUACCUUUAAGUUAAUAAUUUGUCAAAAUGUAGUUUAUAUUAUGCUUUUUUCAAAACAAUGAUAAAAAGUAUGAGUAACCAUGCUUUUUCUCACGCUACAGAUUGUUCAAAAUUGUCAGAUUUUGUAAAGAUUAUCCAAGGAAAUCCUACUUUUUUGUGAUGAAUAGAAAUCUACAACAUAGAAUUUUAAGAACUAAAGACUAUGAGAAGAUAGCUCUAAUUAUAUGCUUUUAUAUAAAAAAAAAAAAUAGAGAAAAGGACUGGACUCAUUUUCUGGCUACAUUAUAAAAAAAUGUUAAUUAACAACGCAUUCUAUUUUAAACGUUACUUUAUCUGAGUUAUCUCCCCUUAUAUGGCAAGGUUGAAGAAAUGAAUCAAACAAAAAUGUAAAAUACAGCCGUAAAAUAUAAUAAAACACAUGAUUUUUAAAAAAAGCACGAAAAGUCUUACACAUGAAUUACAUGCUACUCUCGAAAUUUUCACUUGACCUCGACUUCAUUUCGCGGAUCAGUGAACAAGGAUACUUAGUUUUCAUGAACAUGUCCAUAUCUCAGAUACUAUAAGCAAUAUGUUGACUAAAUAUGGUGUACGGAAUGAUUGUAAGGUGUACAUGUCCAACUGGCAUGUGUCAUUUCGGGGCCUUUUAGAGCUGACUAUGCGGUAUGAGUUUUGCUCAUUGUUGAAGGUCGUACGGUGACAUAUAGUUCUUUGUUUAUGUCAUUUGGUCUCUGGUGAAGCAUUGUCCCAUUGGCAAAUAUAUCAUACCAUCUUAUUUUUAUAUACAAGUUGUAUACAGUAUUCUUGCCAUCAUUAUAUUUUACAGACUAUAUGUGUGGAUAGGAUGUUGGCAUACUACGUAACAUUUCUCGAGAUCAAUGGACUAAUCUGAAUUUGGUUUGGAUUAUUAUAGCGUUUCUGUUUUGGACAUUGCAAUUACUUUAGACGUCCCUAACGACGCACUGAGAAUGCGCAACCUAAUAUACGAGGAUAGAACAUAAUUUCAAAAUGGCCCAUGCCAGAUAAAGCAGACGACGAAAAUGAAAAUGAAUAACUGAUGUUGUUUUUGAAAUUGUUAUUAUCUUUAUUUACUUUAUAACAUUGUUAUUAAAAUGUCAUACAUGUAGCUAUGUAUAUUGUAAUACUUUGUAAUAAUAACAGCAUAAUUAUACCCGCAGUAUCUGUAUUCUACAUAAGUUCCACGGAUUAUAGAAACAUCCUGAAGUUACAUUCAGUGUUCGAACACAGACACAUGAGAAAGGC
rnacentral:lncRNA from 1 species